UUGAUCUACCCAUGGGCAGGAUGAAGCUGUGGUAACACACAGUGGAGGUCCGAACCGGUUGACGUUGAAAAGUCUUCGGAUGACCUGUGGGUAGGGGUGAAAGGCCAAUCAAACUCGGAAAUAGCUCGUACUCCCCGAAAUGCAUUUAGGUGCAGCGUUGGUCAUAAAGUUAUAUAGAGGUAGAGCUACUGAUUGGAUGCGGGGGCUUCACCGCCUACCAAUUCCUGACAAACUCCGAAUGCUAUAUAAUGUUUACCAGCAGUGAGGGCUUGGGUGCUAAGGUCCAAGUCCGAGAGGGAAAGAACCCAGACCAUCAGCUAAGGUCCCAAAUAUAUGUUAAGUUGAAAGAACGAGGUUUGUCUGCCCAGACAGCUAGGAUGUUGGCUUGGAAGCAGCCAUUCAUUUAAAGAGUGCGUAACAGCUCACUAGUCGAGCGGACGAGCAUGGAUAAUAAUCGGGCAUAAACAUAUUACCGAAGCUAUGGAUUUUGCAUUUAUUUGCAAAGUGGUAGGGGAGCAUUCUAACAGGGUAGAAGGUGUGUUGUAAAGCAUGCUGGACUGGUUAGAAAAGAAAAUGUAGGCAUAAGUAACGAUAAUGCGGGCGAGAAACCCGCACACCGAAAGACUAAGGUUUCCACAGCUAUGCUAAUCAGCUGUGGGUUAGUCGGGACCUAAGGCGAACCCGAAAGGGACAGUCGAUGGACAACGGGUUAAUAUUCCCGUACUAGUUAUAAUUGUGAUGGGGUGACGGAGUGAUGAAAGUGUCGCGAACUGACGGAAUAGUUCGUUGAAGUACCUACCUAUAGGCUGCGCAGGCAAAUCCACGCGGCUUGGGGAAAUACGAUAGUACUCGGAGGCUUCGGCCAAAGAGAUAGUACACCUAAGGGCUUCCAAGAAAAACCUCUAAACUUCAGAUUAUAAGUACCCGUACCGCAAACCGACACAGGUAGUCGAGGAGAGAAUCCUAAGGUGCUCGAGAGAUUCAUGGCUAAGGAAUUAGGCAAAAUAGACCCGUAACUUCGGGAGAAGGGUCGCCCCGAGUAAUCGGGGCCGCAGUGAAGAGGUCCAGGCGACUGUUUAUCAAAAACACAGGGCUCUGCAAAAUCGUAAGAUGAAGUAUAGGGCCUGACACCUGCCCGGUGCUGGAAGGUUAAGAGGAGAUGUUAUCUUCGGAGAAGCAUUGAAUUGAAGCCCCAGUAAACGGCGGCCGUAACUAUAACGGUCCUAAGGUAGCGAAAUUCCUUGUCGGGUAAGUUCCGACCUGCACGAAUGGUGUAACGAUCUGGACACUGUCUCAGCCAUGAGCUCGGUGAAAUUGUAGUAACGGUGAAGAUGCCGUUUACCCGCAGUGGGACGAAAAGACCCUGUGCACCUUUACUAUAGCUUAGUAUUGACCUUGGAUAAAUGAUGUG
rnacentral:rRNA from 1 species